UAGAAAGAGAAGAAACAGAUUGUAUGAUGGAGUCUGGAGAGAUAAGAGCGAUAGAGAGAUAGAAAGCAGCAGAGCAAAGGGAGCCCAGAGGUUCCACCCAUCGGUUACGUCGGCACCGAUGUAGCGGCGGUGUUCAGGUUUUCGAUGUCGUAUUGGAAUGCCAGAGGUCCGGCGAAACUACAACGUGUUCAACCAGCUUCUUACGCGAAUCUCAGAUCUUCUUCUUCAUCUUUCAAAUCGAAGAAUUCUAAGGUUAGCUGUAGUAGCUCCGGUGUCGGAGUUAGGGAUUCUGAUGGUAACAAGGUAACUAUCGCACUCUCUGUACCUAUUUUACCCAUUUAAAAACUUGCAUUCACAUGAAGUUAUAGAAUUUCUGAUGUAAUUGUUCUUUGAUUUGAUUAUUAUUCAUUUGUUGUGAAUUUUAGCUUUUUCAAUAGGAUCGAGGCUUAUUUAGGUGAACUUUUAAUUUGGGUCAAUCAUAGUUAUAUUUUUUACUAUAUUGUUAUGCAGAUUUUCUUGAAAAGUUCAUAUUUUUGGUGUUCUUAUCAUUGAUUACCCUGCAAUUUAUUGUGAAUUUUAGGUUUUUAAAGAGGAAUGAAGCUUAUUUAGGUGAACUUUUAGUUUAGGUCAAUCAUAGUUUUGUGUUUUUUAACGUAUUAUUAUGCAUAACCCUUUCUUUCUUAGUUUCUUCGGCUAAGCUUUGACCGUUCUUUUGCCUAAACCAGUCCAAAGUUAGUGUUUUGAUCUGUAUUUUUAAAAAACUUUUUGAACGGAUAAAAAACACGAAUGAUCCGUUCAGUGGCGGAGCUCGCCCAUUUAUUCAGGGAUAUCCUCGUAUUCGUUUAGGGGUAUCCUUUGUAUAAAACAAAAAAGCCGAAAAAAUACACUACGAAUACGAGACUGAGCCGUAGCCCGUGCCGCCCCUCUUAAUACAUUAGCUCCGCCCCUAGAUCCGUUUGGUUAUGAUGAGUUAGGGAUGAGUAAUGGCAAGUUGUUUUUACUGUUUUCCCAUUUUUUGUAGGACUAAAUGCGAGAGAUGCAUAAACGUCGAUGUUUGUUGAUAUAGGAUCAAAAGAUUGGUCUUCGGGUGCAGCCGCUGUGGUAAGGAAGGCGAGUGGAGCAAUCACGCUGAAGGAGAUAAAGGCGGACCCCCAAAAGUGUCAGAAGUUAGGAUCAAGAUGUUGCGUUCGAGUAUUUGCCAUGUUGAUAUCCUAUGUUGCAAUCGGAUACCUACUGAUGGUUGAGAGCAUUGGAGAAGAUAAAACUCAUGUCAACACCCAUGUAGCCGGCAUUUAAGCUAUUGGCAAAGUGAAAAAGUAUGUAGAAGGUCAAUGGCAUUUGACUUGUAGCUCAAAGUAGAUGGAAGAACAUGUUCAAUUCAAGAAGUUAUUAUCAACGGAUGAUGACCCAGACAAGCUUUAUAAAAGUACGUUGAAGGUCAAUGGCAUUUGUAUUGUCAUACAUUUUUCAUGGUUAAUGUUUAGUGUUAUUUAACCAUCCCCGCCGCAACGUGGAUGGGCUUAUGUUUAUCAUUUGUAUACAUUAUGUGUUAAUUUGUAAGCCCCGAACGCAACGCGGCGGGCGGGGUUCCACCUAGUUAUUCUAAAAGCUUAACUAAGAAUAUUCUUAAUUAUUGCGUAUGAAAUGCGUAUCAAUUUGUUACGCAUUUGUGACAAAA